GAGGGUAUAGCUCAAGUGACAGAGCACGUGCUUAGCACGCACGAGGUCCUGGGUUCAAGCCCCACUACAUCUU
rfam:Camelus ferus unplaced genomic scaffold scaffold16594, whole genome shotgun sequence.